rnacentral:lncRNA from 1 species
GGAGUUUUUGAAAAUCUAAGACUCUAGAUUUCAUUCCCUAAUGUGUAGUUGAACCCUGGCCGAAGCGACAGAGUAACUUUUUACCCUCAUCAAGACCAUAGCGACAAGAUGGGAUUGAAUCGUAUGUGGGUACUUAGAACCUCUUGAGGUUAGGUUCAUUUGUACUUAGGACAUGAUUUGUGAUCAUCACUUAGACUCGUGGGUCGUAAGUUAGGUUUGAGCGACGGGUAUCAUCCACCCAAAGCGAUGGGUGAUAUAUGAG